rnacentral:rRNA from 1 species
GACGUAGGGCGCGAGCGUUGUCCGGAUUUAUUGGGCGUAAAGAGCUCGUAGGCGGCUUGUCGCGUCGACUGUGAAAACCCGCGGCUCAACCCCGGGCCUGCAGUGGGUACGGGCAGACUAGAGUGCGGUAGGGGAGACUGGAAUUCCUGGUGUAGCGGUGAAAUGCGCAGAUAUCUGGAGGAACACCGGUGGCGAAGGCGACAUCCUGGACCGGCAUUGACGCUGAGGCGCGAAAGCCAGGGGAGCAAAGCGGG